CAAAAUGGAGCUGAGGGUGUGGA
rnacentral:piRNA from 1 species